rnacentral:rRNA from 1 species
AUUGAACGCUGGCGGCAGGCCUAACACAUGCAAGUCGAGCGGGAACUUCGGUUCUAGCGGCGGACGGGUGAGUAAUGCGUAGGAAGCCACCCGACAGAGGGGGAUACCAGUUGGAAACGACUGUUAAUACCGCAUAAUGUCUACGGACCAAAGUGUGGGACCUUCGGGCCACAUGCUGUCGGAUGCGCCUACGUGGGAUUAGCUAGUUGGUGAGGUAAUGGCUCACCAAGGCGACGAUCCCUAGCUGGUUUGAGAGGAUGAUCAGCCACACUGGAACUGAGACACGGUCCAGACUCCUACGGGAGGCAGCAGUGGGGAAUAUUGGACAAUGGGCGAAAGCCUGAUCCAGCCAAGCCGCGUGUAUGAAGAAGGCCUUCGGGUUGUAAAGUACUUUCAGUCAGGAGGAAGGGUGUGAAAUUAAUACCUUCAUGCAUUGACGUUACUGACAGAAGAAGCACCGGCUAACUCCGUGCCAGCCGCCGCCGUAAAAC